rnacentral:lncRNA from 10 species
CCCGCUCACACUCCCGCACCCUCCCCACACUGCGCCCUGCCCACACUCCUGCACUCUCUCCCCACUACGCCCCCUACCACAUCCCGCGCCCCCGCCCCCAUCCCCACUGCGCCCCGCCCACACUCCCGCGCCCUCGCGCCCCUGGGCUCUCCCGUCGUGGGCACUCUCCCCAGCGCUUCUACACUUUCUCCCGACGCAGCGCCCUGCCCUCCGUCCCGCCCCACCUAUUGCCUCCUGCGCUUCCCCCACACCGUGCUCUUCCUCCUCCUUCACUUCCUCCCACUCCUCGCGCUCCCCUUCAGCGCCCCACGCAGCCCCUCCCCCAAAACCCCGCGUCGCUCUCCUUCCCUCCUGGCCUCUCUUCCAGUCUCGCGCUCCCUGCCGGGCCCCGCCGCAGGUGUCCCGCAGCCGUCUCCCCAGGGCAUUUGAAUCUUGCCUUGGAGCUCUUGCCGCGCGGCCCAGCACCCUGGAAGAGGCAUCAGGGAGGAUGGGACGACGAGGAAGGGGAAGGUUAAUUUCAUAGAGCCAGCUAUGGAACUGGGGAGGACAGAGAGAAGGUCUUUGCUCUCCUAAGACAAGAUGGAUCCCCCACUGACUUUGGACUCCCGUCACGUUCACCGACCCCUGAGUCCUGCUCCUGUGCCUGCCUGGAGCUUAUGUUCUAACGGGCACAAACAAUAAAUAAGGAAGAUAUUUUGCAGGUGCUAUGCCAAAAGAAGAGCCAUGAGGAGGGGCGCAGGUUUUUGUUUUGUUUUAUUUUGGUUUGGUUUGGUUGGUUGGUUGAGAUGGAGUCUCGCUCUUGUUGCCCAGGCUGGAGUGCAAUGGCGUGAUCUCGGCUCACUGCAACCUCCGCCUCCCGGGUUCAAGCAAUUCUCCCGCCUCAGCCUCCUGAGUAGCUGGGAUUACUGGCGCGUGCCACCACGCCCAGCUAAUUUUUGUAUUUUUAGUAGAGACGGGGUUUCAUCAUGUUAGCCAGGCUGGUCUCAAACUCCUGACUUCAGGUGAUCUACCCACCUCUGCCUCCCAAAGUGCUGGAAUUACAGGCUUGAGCCACCGAGGGGCGCAGUUUUAAUCUAGCGGUGAGAGGAGUCAGGGAAGGUGAAAUUUGCGCUUCCUGAGGACCCGCCUGCCGGCCCGGGCUCCCCCAGUCUCGCCGUUAAAUGAACGGAAAUUGGCGGACGCCGUUGCCUGCAGGCACAGCCCGUCGGCUCGGUUGCGUAAAUGUACUUAGCAGCCAAAGCUCAGUGGAAACCCUGCGGGAGGAUUGAUUGGCGCUCUUAGGUGAAGCAGGCUGUCAAGAGCCCCGAUUCACUGUCCUCUGGGGAAAAUGGAUAGACAAAUCGGAGGAAAAAAUUGAGAGGAACUGUGAGCAGUAUAAAUCUUGCAUGAGGAGGCCCCUGACUUACGUUAAAACUCAGAGGUAAGAGGAAUGAAAUGCAGCUAAGCUCUCAAAAUCAUCCAGACUAUUUUGUUUUGUCAUCUUAUCCUUGAACACACAAUGAGCCAAAGUAGACAGCAUUCCUAAUUAGUUGACGGUGCCACCCUCCCGAGAAAAUUAACGGUCAUUCGCAUUAAUACUGCCUGCCCUGGGGAACUCACCCAACCUCCAUCCAGGAAUGGAUCGCACUUCCUGCUGCCGAUGUCGGGGGCAGGGCGGCUUCCUAGGCAUGCAGACCCUCAGAGGCACAGGGCCCUGCACUCACUUGGGGCUCAGUGUUCUGCGGUUGCAGUCUUUGUUGUUUUGUUUUUUGUUUAGAAACUGAAUCUCACUCUCUUACCCAGGCUGGAGUGCAGUAGUGGGAUCAUAGCUCACUGCAGCUUCCAACUCCUGGGCUCCAGGGAUCCUCCCGCCUCAGCCUCCUGAGUAGCUAGGACUAUAGCCACAUGCCACUAUGCAAGGCUAAUUGUUUUUAUUAUUAUUAUUAUUAUUUUUUAGAGAUGGGGUCUCCCUCUGUUGCCCAGCCUGGUGAUUUUUUUUUUUUUUUUGGAUGGAGUCUCGCUCUGUGGCCCAGGCUGGAGUGCAAUGGCGUGAUCUCAGCUCACUGCAACCUCCACCUCCCAGGUUCAAGUGAUUCUUCUGCCUCAGCCUCCCGUGUAGCUGGGACUACAGGUGCACGCCACCACGCCUGGCUAAUUUUUUUAUUUUUAGUAGAGACGGGGUUUCACCAUAUUGACCAAGCUGGUCCCUAACUCCUGACCUCGUGAUCCGCCCGCCUCAGCCUCCCAAAGUGCUGGGAUUACAGGCGUGAGCCACCGCACCCAGCCAAAAUUCUUAAUUUAUCUUUGAAUUUGUGUGGUAUAUGAGAGGUCUUGGACAGUGGCACAUAUGUGAGUGUUUGGACCCUAGCUCAUGUGUGCUCCCACCUGCCACUGCCUCCCUACCUCCCCAAGACAGGUUCUUCUUCUUAUUAUUAUUAUUUUGAGACUGAGUCCCACUCUGUCACCCAGGCUAGAGUGCAGUGCUGUGAUCUCAGCUCACUGCAACCUCCGCUUCCUGGCUUCAAGCAAUUCUCCCUGCCUCAGCGUCCCGAGUAGGUGGGAUUACAGACACCUGCCACCACGCCCAACUAAUUUUUGUAUUUUUAGUAGACACGGUUUCACCAUGUUGGCCAGGCUGGACUUGAACUCCUGACCUCAGGUAAUCCGCCUGCCUUGGCCUCUCAAAGUGCUGGGAUUACAAGAGUGAGCCACUGUGCCCAGCCCAAGAUAGGUUCUUGACUGCUCAAUCCUCUCCUCCUUUUGGUGUCCUGGGCCACACCUGGACUCCCCAUCUCCACCUCCACCCAGGAACCGCUAGUGUCCUCUGUGGUCACUGGGGGCCCAGGUGGUGGGGGGAAGACUGACGUCCGAUGCCUUUGCCCCACAAGGUCUCAGGGUAGGUACGGCAUAGGAAUAGCUGGUGGCCUGCAGGGCCCCCAGACAAGGGUGAAAGUUGACAUUCACCCUGUGCCCAAGAAAGUAUGACAUUCAAUGGCAAAUAAAAGACCAUGCUAGAAAGAGAAAAGCUUUUGCAUAUUAGUGCCUUUGCUGGCACUUUCCUUUCCUGCUUGUUGAACAAGGGGCACUGCAUUUCCAUUGCUGGGGAGAGCAGCCCACUCAGUGUUAAUGGAAAAACCAAACUCUGUAAACUAUUUGAAAGAGGUUUAUUCUGAGCUAGUAUGAGUGACAACAGCCCAGGGAAAGACAUAAACUGAAAAAGCCUUGAGUCAGUGGUCUCAGGGCAGUUAGAUCGCAACUCUGUUUUACACAUUUCAGGGAAGCAGAAGUUAUGAAAAAGUCAUAAAUCAAUACAUGAAGAUUAGACAUUGAUUUGGCCCAGAAAGGCAGAAUAUGUUAAAGUGGGGGCUUCCUGGUCAUAGGUCACUCCAGAGUCUUCAAUUUGCAAUUGGUUAAAAGAGUAAAACUUUGUCUAAAAAUUUUGAAUCAGCAGAAAGGAAUGUUUUCAGUUAAGGAAGUCUGUUAACCAAACCACUGGGUCAGAGUGACCCAUGGGGUGUGUGACUUAAUCCUUGCCUGACAUGGACUUAGGUCCUAUUUAUCAUUUGCUACCUUAUUGUCACAAAGAGUCUGUUUUGUUAGUCUUAUGAUCUGUAUUUUAACAUUUAUGCUGGUCAGUUCUGCCUAAACUCCAAAAGGGAGGGCAUGUAACAAGGCAUGAGUCCAACCUCCCUUCCCAUUGUGGCCAGGAAUUUCGUUUUUAACUUUUUUCUGGGAUCCUCUUGGCCAACAGGGGGUCUGUUCAAUGAGUAGAGGGUUAGGAUUUUAUAUUUAGUUUACAUCAGGGACCUGGGUGAAGCGAGUAAGCCCUCCAGGGAGGUGUGAUCAUGGGGGAACAGAGUCAGCCACCCCCAUCCCAGAUUCUCCUUGGACUGCCUGCUCUGAGCGGCUGUGUGUAGACAGCAAGGAAGAGGGGUCUUCGUCAGAUGCGUGCACCAGAGACUCCAGAACAGCUCAGCCUGGCUCACUCAGUAAAGGGCAUUCUCAAGGGUCAUUGCUGACUCUUCCGGGGCAGCCAGUCUUCAAAUGGACUUUCCCAAACCCCUUCCUAUUGCAGAAAGCUUGUGUCAUUUGCCUCCAAAUGCUGUCCCCCUGACCUCUCCCUGGGGAGGGAGUGGGCUGCAGGUGCCACAGGAUGCAGCAUGAAGCCCUGCAUUCUCCCACCGCUGCUGGAGCCAAGUUCUCCUUCAUGUUUCUCUCUGCACAACACACACAGGAACACUCACAAAUGCAGUCCUGGAAACAGGAUUAGGUGGCCCCUACUUUCCUAGCUGGGAUAUGCAAAGCCACUUUCAUACCAAACUUCCUUCCAGGGCAUCUAAAGGUGACAUGAGUGUGGGCAUCUGUAAGCAGCUUUACUUGCCUUGGACAACCACAGGGAAACUGGGCAGUGAGUCCCACUCCAGAUGCUGGCCGGAGAGACCCCAGUGAAGGCACCCUCAGGCCUGCCCUCCCUCCCUGAGCCCCUCUCCCCUCCCCGCUGCCCCUGAUUUAAGGGUAGUCCUUUCUGCAUUUCCUCCCGAGAGCACGAUAAUAACUCACUGCUUGACCAACUUCAGACAGACUCCUCCGGCACUUUUUUCAGCUAGGCCUCAUCCUUGGACCCCGUGCUCAGCCUGCCUGAGCCAGUCUUAGCAAAGAAUCCUGUUAAGUCCUCUUCUGCCUUUAGUAUCCAAUCAUCCUGGCCUGCCUGCAGCAGGUGUCCUGUUAAGUUAGUUUAGCAAGAUACCCCCCUACCGUCAAGGUCCCCUCUGUUUUCCAUCUGCCAACCCCCCACCUCCACCCUGUUCCUGGGCUGUAAAUCCCCACUUGUCCUUGUGUUGGGAAUUGUGCUCGGCGCUUUCCUUUUGCAGUAGUGCUCAACAGAGUCUGUCUUUUUGCCUUGGAUAGUGUUCAGUUCUAUUUCUCAUUAACAGUUAUGAAGGGCUGUGACACCUUGCUUGGCUUCUAGUCUUGACAUAGACUAAAAGGCAGAAGGUUUCCAGAGCUCACGCUGGAUGGCUGGGCAGAUGAGGUCUUCAGAGACUCUCCAGGGAGGUACGGCUCUGCCUUUCUACUCAGUAUGCAAGCUCCCCAGACUUCUGAAGAGGGAUGUUUCUCCUUAGAGAAAGUCUCCCUGAAUGUGGGUAUUUCAUAAGUUCUUGGACCAGUUCUGCUCUUCUCAGUCCUGCUUUUUGUCAACAUACAUUGAAUCACUUCUCCCUGGCAAAAGAGCAGCAUGUGAAGAAAAUGUGAUCCUUGGUGGUUUGACAUGAAAUUGACUUUUUCUUCUAGCAACACUUAUGAAUAUUCAAAUACAAUUAUGGAAAAGAUUUUUUGCACUGAUCAGCAUAACAAACAAAUUAGACAUCCCAGUGUGCAAAUAUAACUUUCUGAAUUUCCUAGUUUUAAAUAUUCCAGUGGCCAGGAUACCCUAUCCAGAGGAAGCAGGACCGUCUCAGCUGACCAGGGCCCUUGCCUGCUAAUAGCAUCAUGCAUACCUUGUUUCUUCAUGAGGCUGCUUGCCCGAGUUCCAAUCCACCAGGAAUUCAUCUUGUAUCAUAGCUGAUGGAUCCCGUGUCUCGUUUCUAAGUUGGAGCAUCACUUUGCAGCUCCCAACCAGGGCCAGCCACAAAAUUUGAAAGGCCCAGUGCAAAAUAAAAAUGCAGAGCCCCUUGUUCAAAAAGCAGGAAAAGAAUGGGCCAGCAAAGGAACUAAAAUAAACGAAAGCUUUUCCCUUUCUUCCAUGGUCUCUCUUUUGACCUAUCAUGGUGUUUUUAUUUGCUACUGAAUAUCAUGCUUUCUUGGGACAGGGUGAGUGUCAACUGUCACACUUGCCCAGGGGCCCUGCCGAGUGACUUGGUGGGUACACAGUCCACCAGCUGCUUGCAUGGCCACGCCCACCCUGAGAUGCCACGGGUAGUGUAGUAAAAGCAUCUGAUGUCAACCCCACACCCCUCCACACAUACACACUCAGGUUCCCGCAGACCAUGGAGGGCACCAGCGGUUGCUGGGUGAGGGUGGGGAUGGGGAGGCCAUGUGGGGCCCAGGACACCAAAGGGAGGGAGACGAGCAGUCAAUAAUGUGCCUGGGAGAGGUGGCGGACCAGCAGCAGAUGGGAGCACACAUGAGGCAGGCUCCAAGUGCUCACGUAUGCUCCACUGUCCAAUGAGGCCUCACUUACACCACACAAAUUCAAAGAUAAAAUAAAGUUUUUUUUGUUUUGUUUUGUUUUGUUUUGUUUUGGAGACAAGAGUCUCACUCUGUCACCCAGGCUAGAGUGCAGUGGCGCAAUCUUGGCUCACUGCAACUUCCACCUUCCAGGUUCAAGUGAUUCUCCUGCCUCAGCCUCCCAAACAGCUGGGGCUACAGGUGUCCACCACCACACCUGGCUAAUUUUUUGUAUUUUUAGUAGAGAUGGGGUUUCUCCAUGCUGGCCAGGCUGGUCUCAAACUCCUGACCUCAAGUGAUCCGCCC